CGAUGUCGGCUCAACUCAUCCUGGGGCUGAAGAAGGUCCCAAGGGUUCGGCUGUUCGCCGAUUAAAGAGUUACGCGAGCUGGGUUCAGAACGUCGUGAGACAGUUCGGUCCCUAUCCUUCGUGGGCGCAGGAGAUUUGAGGGGAGCUACAUUUAGUACGAGAGGACCGGUGUGGACGAACCUCUGGUGUACCGGUUGUGAUGCCAAUUGCAUUGCCGGGUAGCUAAGUUCGGAUUGGAUAACCGCUGAAAGCAUCUAAGCGGGAAGCCAACCCCAAGACGAGAUCUCCCCAUCAGACAGGUUGGAGACGACAACCUUGAUAGGUCACAGGUGUAAGCGCAGUAAUGUGUUCAGCCAAGUGAUACUAAUAAGUCGAUUGGCUUUCACCA
rnacentral:rRNA from 1 species